ACCAUUUAAUGUUCCCGUUCCAAACGCUGACUGCUGUAAAUAAUAUAUUCAAAAUUUUAUAAAAGUGAAAAUUAUUGAAAAAUACAUAGAAGGAAGGACUCAAUCGAGCUCCUAAAUUUGGAAUUUUUUCAAAGAAUACAACAAAUUCUCCCAAGAAUUUUGUAUAUACUUUUUGAAAUUGAGAAUGCUUGGCUUUCAAAUGUAGUGUAAGAACUGAACCGAGAAUAUUAAAAACAUUGGAAUUGGAUGCAACUUAAAACAGUUUAUAAUAUCGGCCCUUCUUGAUUUAGUGGUAAAUGCCCUACAAAUCCUAAAAUUACUAAAGAAAUACAUAUCUUUCUGGUGCCGUUUAAAGGUAAUCUAGACGGCCAAGAAAUUUGGACAUUCAAUGUCGUGCUAUCAACUGCAGUAACAGUGGAUCAUUGUGCGACCGCAUGACCGACAUUAACGGAUGUCUCCAGAGAAAUAAGGAUGAUUUAUAGGAGGGAAACUGUUGCUGAUAAAUUGUUCCCGCCCAUCUCCCCUUGCCACUUUCCUAAAAGUUAUAGCCAGCCUUAUUAUCCGGCCUAAAUGGAUACUGUCAUCGGAACAUGGCAAUCCUGGAGUCAGAAAAGGCUAAUAAAAGGCAGAAGGACCCGCCUGCCAACAGUUGAGGCUGGACCCCAAAGGGAACCGUUGGCAGAUUUCGAAAUCUUUUUAUCAAAGUCAGGGGAAUCAUAAUGGACAAGAGAGAAAUAGAGGACAUCUUAUAGGACAUCAUUGAGGACUAUGGCUUUUCGUUGGCAAGCAAAUAUAAAUGGUUUACAUUUAUUUCUCAGACAGUUUACCG